AACUGUGAGGUGCGGUUGUAGAGGGGUUGGCUUCUUAAGUUACUUGUUUGCUCAGGUUUAAUGUGGUUAACUGAGAAAUCUCAUGAAAGAUGGUGGUUCUGUUUGCUUGCCAACCAAUUACAAUUCCACUGGAAGUAGUGUUUUUAAACUUCCUAAGUUACUUUUGCAUAGCAGAGACCCUGAAGUGGGUGUGAAGGCUCUGAGCUGGGCUCUGGGGCUGCAGGAGGUGACCCUGCAGGCUGGUCUGCUGCCACAUCUCCUGCACUGUGCGUGAUAAUGGCAUGUCAGCCUUCGGCUAGUUUCCUGAGUGAGGAAAAAGCAAUAUAUAAGGCAUCUUUUCACCCAGGCUGGCUGGUGACAGCUGAGCAACAGCUGAGAGAAGAAACAGCGAUAACUGCCUUAUGAACAUUUACAUCUCAAGCCUUAUGCUGAUGUGUACUUGCAUUUCGACUAAAUUUCAAGAUAAGUUGUGUGAAGAAAGAGGAGAACCGACAAAGCUCUGCAAUAUCUUUGAAAAUCUUCAGUGAUUUAACAUUUAAUAAAUGAGUAUGUACAGAAGCAUUUUAUUUUUUCUCAUGGUAAGCAAUUGCUCAAAUGCAGUUUUGCUCAGAGGCAGCUAGACCUAAAGCAUUUAAAGGUUUCUGCAAGAAUGAAAUACAUUUUGAGAUGUGAAGAGCGCUUGUCUCAUGAAUUGGAUAGUUACUAAAUGGAAUAGAUAGCAUAUAGGCUGCAGGCAGUGUAGUGGAGGAGGUAGGAAGAUGACCGUCUGUGACCUAAUAUGUUCCAAGCAGAGCUUUGAGUCUUUUGCUCUUGCUUUUUCCCUGUCCAUUUCCUAGGUCAAAUCUUUCUAGAGCAACCUGGGAUUCAAGAAAGUACUGUGAAAGCUAAUGAAAUUAAUUAUCUGUGACAUUGUAUGAUUCACACCAAGUUAUUUUCCUUGAAGUUACAAUUGUGUGUUGGGAAGAAAUGCUACUGGGAACCUUAGAGAUAAAAUUCAAGGCUGAAAAGAAGAAUUUAUAUUAAUUAUUACGUAGUGUAUAACUCAAUGCAUAAAUUUGAACUGUUAAUCUGGUUUAAAAUAGUAAGUUUAUAAAUUUCUAUGAUGUUUCCAUAGCUAACAAGAAAGUAGAGUAUUCAAAUAAUUUGAACAGAAUGUCUGCGUUCUGCUGUAGAAAUAGGUGGAAACAGUCUUCUCUUUUUAUGUUAAUCUCAGUCAUCUACAUCAGAGCAAUAAAAAAAAUCUCCAAAAAUAC
rnacentral:lncRNA from 7 species